GACGAACGCUGGCGGCGCGCCUAACACAUGCAAGUCGAACGAGCGAGAGGGAGCUUGCUUUCUUGAGCGAGUGGCGAACGGGUGAGUAACGCGUGAGGAACCUGCCUCAAAGAGGGGGACAACAGUUGGAAACGACUGCUAAUACCGCAUAAGCCCACGACCCGGCAUCGGGUUGAGGGAAAAGGAGCAAUCCGCUUUGAGAUGGCCUCGCGUCCGAUUAGCUAGUUGGUGAGGUAACGGCCCACCAAGGCGACGAUCGGUAGCCGGACUGAGAGGUUGAACGGCCACAUUGGGACUGAGACACGGCCCAGACUCCUACGGGAGGCAGCAGUGGGGAAUAUUGCACAAUGGGGGAAACCCUGAUGCAGCGACGCCGCGUGGAGGAAGAAGGUCUUCGGAUUGUAAACUCCUGUUGUUGAGGAAGAUAAUGACGGUACUCAACAAGGAAGUGACGGCUAACUACGUG
rnacentral:rRNA from 1 species